rfam:Arabis alpina cultivar Pajares Aa.chr2_contig_3971, whole genome shotgun sequence.
UUUUUUAAUCAUACCAGCACUAAUGCACGGGAUCUCAUCAGAACUCCGUAGUUAAGCGUGUUUUGAGAGAACUCCGUAGUUAAGCGUGUUUUGAGGAAGAGUAGUAGUACUAGGAUGAGUGAC